ACAUGCAGUCGAGCGGUAARGCCUUUCGGGGUACACGAGCGGCGAACGGGUGAGUAACACKUGGGUGAUCUGCCCUGCACUUCGGGAUAAGCCUGGGAMACUGGGUCUAAUACCGGAUAUGACCUCAGGUUGCAUGACKUGGGGUGGAAAGAUUUAUCGGUGCAGGAUGGGCCCGCGGCCUAUCAGCUUGUUGGUGGGGUAAUGGCCUACCAAGGCGACGACGGGUAGCCGACCUGAGAGGGUGACCGGCCACACUGGGACUGAGACACGGCCCAGACUCCUACGGGAGGCAGCAGUGGGGAAUAUUGCACAAUGGGCGAAAGCCUGAUGCAGCGACGCCGCGUGAGGGAUGACGGCCUUCGGGUUGUAAACCUCUUUCAGCAGGGACGAAGCGCAAGUGACGGUACCUGCAGAAGAAGYWYCKGCUAACUACGUGCCAGCAGCCGCGGUAAUACGUAGGGUGCAAGCGUUGUCCGGAAUUACUGGGCGUAAAGAGUUCGUAGGCGGUUUGUCGCGUCGUUUGUGAAAACCAGCAGCUCAACUGCUGGCUUGCAGGCGAUACGGGCAGACUUGAGUACUGCAGGGGAGACUGGAAUUCCUGGUGUAGCGGUGAAAUGCGCAGAUAUCAGGAGGAACACCGGUGGCGAAGGCGGGUCUCUGGGCAGUAACUGACGCUGAGGAACGAAAGCGUGGGUAGCGAACAGGAUUAGAUACCCUGGUAGUCCACGCCGUAAACGGUGGGCGCUAGGUGUGGGUUCCUUCCACGGAAUCCGUGCCGUAGCUAACGCAUUMAGCGCCCCGCCUGGRGAGUACGGCCGCAAGGCUAAACUCAAAGGAAUUGACGGGGYCCGCACARCKCGGAGCAUGUGGAUUACUUCGAUGCWACGCGAGGACKUASCUGGGUUWGACAUAUACGGAAGCUGCWCAGAUGUGCCCCC
rnacentral:rRNA from 1 species